rnacentral:rRNA from 1 species
UGGGGAAUUUUGACAAUGGGGGCAACCCUGAUCCAGCAAUGCCGCGUGAGUGAAGAAGGCCUUCGGGUUGUAAAGCUCUUUUGUCCGGGAAGAAAUCCCAUCCUUGAAUACGGGGUGGGGAUGACGGUACUGGAAGAAUAAGCACCGGCUAACUACGUGCCAGCAGCCGCGUAAUACGUAGGGUGCAAGGCGUUAAUCGGAAUUACUGGGCGUAAAGCGUGCGCAGGCGGUUGUGCAAGACCGAUGUGAAAUCCCCGGGCUUAACCUGGGACUCAUUGGUGACUGCACGGCUAGAGUGUGUCAGAGGGGGGCAGAAUUCCACGUGGUAGCAGUGAAUGCGUAGAGAUGUGGAGGAAUACCGAUGGCGAAGGCAGCCCCCUGGGAUAACACUGACGCUCAUGCACGAAAGCGUGGGGAGCGAACAGGAUUAGAUACCCCUGGUAGUCCACGCCCUAAACGAUGUCAACUAGUUGUCGGGGAUUAAUUUCCUUGGUAACGCAGCUAACGCGUGAAGUUGNCCGCCUGGGGGAGUACGGUCGCAAGAUUAAAAGCUCAAA